AUUGAACGCUGGCGGCAUGCCUUACACAUGCAAGUCGAACGGCAGCACGGGUGCUUGCACCUGGUGGCGAGUGGCGAACGGGUGAGUAAUACAUCGGAACGUACCUUAUCGUGGGGGAUAACGCAGCGAAAGCUGUGCUAAUACCGCAUACGCCCUGAGGGGGAAAGCGGGGGAUCGCAAGACCUCGCGCGAUUAGAGCGGCCGAUGCCUGAUUAGCUUGUUGGUGGGGUAAAAGCCCACCAAGGCGACGAUCAGUAGCUGGUCUGAGAGGGCGAUCAGCCACACUGGGACUGAGACACGGCCCAGACUCCUACGGGAGGCAGCAGUGGGAAUUUUGGACAAUGGGGGCAACCCUGAUCCAGCAAUGCCGCGUGAGUGAAGAAGGCCUUCGGGUUGUAAAGCUCUUUUGUCAGGGAAGAAACACCGGCUCUAACACAGUCCGGGAAUGACGGUACCUGAAGAAUAAGCACCGGCUAACUACGUGCCAGCCGCCGCAGUAA
rnacentral:rRNA from 1 species